ACGAACGCUGGCGGCGUGCCUAAUACAUGCAAGUAGAACGCUGAAGAGAGGAGCUUGCUCUUCUUGGAUGAGUUGCGAACGGGUGAGUAACGCGUAGGUAACCUGCCUUGUAGCGGGGGAUAACUAUUGGAAACGAUAGCUAAUACCGCAUAACAAUGGAUGACCCAUGUCAUUUAUUUGAAAGGGGCAAAUGCUCCACUACAAGAUGGACCUGCGUUGUAUUAGCUAGUAGGUGAGGUAACGGCUCACCUAGGCGACGAUACAUAGCCGACCUGAGAGGGUGAUCGGCCACACUGGGACUGAGACACGGCCCAGACUCCUACGGGAGGCAGCAGUAGGGAAUCUUCGGCAAUGGGGGCAACCCUGACCGAGCAACGCCGCGUGAGUGAAGAAGGUUUUCGGAUCGUAAAGCUCUGUUGUAAGUCAAGAACGAGUGUGAGAGUGGAAAGUUCACACUGUGACGGUAGCUUACCAGAAAGGGACGGCUAACUACGUGCCAGCAGCCGCGGUAAUACGUAGGUCCCGAGCGUUGUCCGGAUUUAUUGGGCGUAAAGCGAGCGCAGGCGGUUUGAUAAGUCUGAAGUUAAAGGCUGUGGCUCAACCAUAGUUCGCUUUGGAAACUGUCAAACUUGAGUGCAGAAGGGGAGAGUGGAAUUCCAUGUGUAGCGGUGAAAUGCGUAGAUAUAUGGAGGAACACCGGUGGCGAAAGCGGCUCUCUGGUCUGUAACUGACGCUGAGGCUCGAAAGCGUGGGGAGCGAACAGGAUUAGAUACCCUGGUAGUCCACGCCGUAAACGAUGAGUGCUAGGUGUUGGAUCCUUUCCGGGAUUCAGUGCCGCAGCUAACGCAUUAAGCACUCCGCCUGGGGAGUAUGACCGCAAGGUUGAAACUCAAAGGAAUUGACGGGGGCCCGCACAAGCGGUGGAGCAUGUGGUUUAAUUCGAAGCAACGCGAAGAACCUUACCAGGUCUUGACAUCCCGAUGCUAUUUCUAGAGAUAGAAAGUUACUUCGGUACAUCGGUGACAGGUGGUGCAUGGUUGUCGUCAGCUCGUGUCGUGAGAUGUUGGGUUAAGUCCCGCAACGAGCGCAACCCCUAUUGUUAGUUGCCAUCAUUCAGUUGGGCACUCUAGCGAGACUGCCGGUAAUAAACCGGAGGAAGGUGGGGAUGACGUCAAAUCAUCAUGCCCCUUAUGACCUGGGCUACACACGUGCUACAAUGGUUGGUACAACGAGUUGCGAGUCGGUGACGGCAAGCUAAUCUCUUAAAGCCAAUCUCAGUUCGGAUUGUAGGCUGCAACUCGCCUACAUGAAGUCGGAAUCGCUAGUAAUCGCGGAUCAGCACGCCGCGGUGAAUACGUUCCCGGGCCUUGUACACACCGCCCGUCACACCACGAGAGUUUGUAACACCCGAAGUCGGUGAGGUAACCUUUUGGAGCCAGCCGCCUAAGGUGGGAUAGAUGAUUGGGGUG
rnacentral:rRNA from 1 species